rnacentral:rRNA from 1 species
CAGGCCAGGCGCGGGCUGCCUAUUAAUGCAAGUCGAGCGGACAGAUGGGAGCUUGCUCCCUGAUGUUAGCGGCGGACGGGUGAGUAACACGUGGGUAACCUGCCUGUAAGACUGGGAUAACUCCGGGAAACCGGGGCUAAUACCGGAUGGUUGUUUGAACCGCAUGGUUCAGACAUAAAAGGUGGCUUCGGCUACCACUUACAGAUGGACCCGCGGCGCAUUAGCUAGUUGGUGAGGUAACGGCUCACCAAGGCGACGAUGCGUAGCCGACCUGAGAGGGUGAUCGGCCACACUGGGACUGAGACACGGCCCAGACUCCUACGGGAGGCAGCAGUAGGGAAUCUUCCGCAAUGGACGAAAGUCUGACGGAGCAACGCCGCGUGAGUGAUGAAGGUUUUCGGAUCGUAAAGCUCUGUUGUUAGGGAAGAACAAGUGCCGUUCAAAUAGGGCGGCACCUUGACGGUACCUAACCAGAAAGCCACGGCUAACUACGUGCCAGCAGCCGCGGUAAUACGUAGGUGGCAAGCGUUGUCCGGAAUUAUUGGGCGUAAAGGGCUCGCAGGCGGUUUCUUAAGUCUGAUGUGAAAGCCCCCGGCUCAACCGGGGAGGGUCAUUGGAAACUGGGGAACUUGAGUGCAGAAGAGGAGAGUGGAAUUCCACGUGUAGCGGUGAAAUGCGUAGAGAUGUGGAGGAACACCAGUGGCGAAGGCGACUCUCUGGUCUGUAACUGACGCUGAGGAGCGAAAGCGUGGGGAGCGAACAGGAUUAGAUACCCUGGUAGUCCACGCCGUAAACGAUGAGUGCUAAGUGUUAUGGGGUUUCCGCCCCUUAGUGCUGCAGCUAACGCAUUAAGCACUCCGCCUGGAGAGUACGGUCGCAAGACUGAAACUCAAAGGAAUUGACGGGGGCCCGCACAAGCGGUGGAGCAUGUGGUUUAAUUCGAAGCAACGCGAAGAACCUUACCAGGUCUUGACAUCCUCUGACAAUCCUAGAGAUAGGACGUCUCCUUCGGGGGCAGAGUGACAGGUGGUGCAUGGUUGUCGUCAGCUCGUGUCGUGAGAUGUUGGGAUAAGUUCCCGCACGAGCGCAACCUUGAUCUUAAGUUGCCAGCAUUCAGUUGGGCACUCCUAAGGUGACUUGCCGUUGGACAAC